rnacentral:rRNA from 1 species
UACGUAGGUGGCGAGCGUUGUCCGGAUUUACUGGGCGUAAGGAGCGCGCAGGCGGCUGGUCAAGUCCGAUGUGAAAGCUCCCGGCUUAACUGGGAAAUUGCAUCGGAAACUGAUCGGCUGGAAGGUGGGAGAGGGUAGCGGAAUUCCCGGUGUAGUGGUGAAAUGCGUAGAUAUCUGGAGGAACACCGGUGGCGAAGGCGGCGUUCUGGACUGCAACUGACACUGAGGAACGAAAGCCAGGGGAGCAAACGGG